ACGCUGGCGGCGUGCCUAUCAUGCAAGUCGAGCGAGCUGAACCAACAGAUUCACUUCGGUGAUGACGUUGGGAACGCGAGCGGCGGAUGGGUGAGUAACACGUGGGGAACCUGCCCCAUAGUCUGGGAUACCACUUGGAAACAGGUGCUAAUACCGGAUAAGAAAGCAGAUCGCAUGAUCAGCUUAUAAAAGGCGGCGUAAGCUGUCGCUAUGGGAUGGCCCCGCGGUGCAUUAGCUAGUUGGUAGGGUAACGGCCUACCAAGGCAAUGAUGCAUAGCCGAGUUGAGAGACUGAUCGGCCACAUUGGGACUGAGACACGGCCCAAACUCCUACGGGAGGCAGCAGUAGGGAAUCUUCCACAAUGGACGAAAGUCUGAUGGAGCAACGCCGCGUGAGUGAAGAAGGUUUUCGGAUCGUAAAGCUCUGUUGUUGGUGAAGAAGGAUAGAGGUAGUAACUGGCCUUUAUUUGACGGUAAUCAACCAGAAAGUCACGGCUAACUACGUGCCAGCAGCCGCGGUAAUACGUAGGUGGCAAGCGUUGUCCGGAUUUAUUGGGCGUAAAGCGAGCGCAGGCGGAAGAAUAAGUCUGAUGUGAAAGCCCUCGGCUUAACCGAGGAACUGCAUCGGAAACUGUUU
rnacentral:rRNA from 1 species